rnacentral:rRNA from 1 species
CCCUUAGAUGUUCUGGGCCGCACGCGCGCUACACUGAAGGGAUCAGCGUGUUUUCCCUUCCCGAGAGGGACGGGUAACCCGCUGAACCCCCUUCGUGGUAGGGAUCGGAGCUUGCAAUUGUUCUCCGUGAACCAGGAAUUCCCAGUAAGCGCAAGUCAUAAGCUUGCGUUGAUUACGUCCCUACCCUUUGUACACACCGCCCGUCGCUACUACCGAUUGAACGUUUUAGUGAGGUAUUUGGACUGGGCCUUGGGAGGUUUCGGCCUCCCUUGUUGCUCGGAAAGACUCCCAAACUUGAGCGUUUAGAGGAAGUAAAAGUCGUAACA